rnacentral:rRNA from 1 species
UACAUGGGGUGCGAACGUUGCUCGGAAUUAUUGGGCGUAAAGCGCGCGUCGGCGGUUACUUAAGUCGGGUGUGAAAGCCCUCGGCUUAACUGAGGAAGUGCACCCGAAACUGAGUAGCUAGAGUACGAAAGAGGGUCGCGGAAUUCCCGGUGUAGAGGUGAAAUUCGUAGAUAUCGGGAGGAACACCGGUGGCGAAGGCGGCGACCUGGGUCGAGACUGACGCUGAGGCGCGAAAGCGUGGGGAGCAAACAGG